rnacentral:rRNA from 1 species
GGAGGCAAAUGCAAGGUGAAUUGGAACAAGGUGUGCUCCUCGUUGGAUAAACAAGGACUCGGUAUCCUCAAUCUUGAGCGCUUUGGCCAGGCCCUGCGGCAACGAUGGCUCUGGCUAACCUGGAAACACCCGGACAGGCCAUGGGUGGGCAUGGAGGUACCGUGCUCUGGAUCUGAUCGAUUGUUCUUCAGCGCGGCCACCUCGGUCACGGUUGGCAACGGCCAGACGGCCGGGUUUUGGACUUGCUCCUGGCAUCAGGCAGGCACGCUACAAUUGCUUUUUCCGGCGCUCUAUAAACACUCAAGGACGAAGAACAGAACGGUUGCCGAUGCCCUUCGUAAUGAUCGUUGGAUCCUUGACUUGGCGCACGGGCAGACAGACCAGAUCAUUUGUGACUGUGUGGCCCUGGCGAGGCUCCUGUGUUUGGUGCCAGUCAACCUCACUACAGAUGUGUGCGAUGAGAUAAGGUGGAAUCUGUUGGGGAACGUAGUAAUUUCAAAAAAAAUCCUACGCACACGCAAGAUCAUGGUGAUGCAUAGCAACGAGAGGGGAGAGUGUUGUCCACGUACCCUCGUAGACCGAAAGCGGAAGCGUUAG